rnacentral:rRNA from 1 species
AGAGUUUGAUCCUGGCUCAGGAUGAACGCUAGCGGCAGGCUUAACACAUGCAAGUCGAGGGGCAGCGAGAUCAAAGCUUGCUUUGAUUGUCGGCGACCGGCGCACGGGUGCGUAACGCGUAUGCAACCUACCCACUACAGGGGGAUAACACUGAGAAAUCGGUACUAAUACCCCAUAAUAUCUUGAAAGGCAUCUUUCGAGGUUGAAAACUCCGGUGGUAGUGGAUGGGCAUGCGUUGUAUUAGCUAGUUGGUGAGGUAACGGCUCACCAAGGCGACGAUACAUAGGGGGACUGAGAGGUUAACCCCCCACAUUGGUACUGAGACACGGACCAAACUCCUACGGGAGGCAGCAGUGAGGAAUAUUGGUCAAUGGACGCAAGUCUGAACCAGCCAUGCCGCGUGCAGGAAGACGGCUCUAUGAGUUGUAAACUGCUUUUGUAUGAGGGUAAACCCGGGUACGAGUACCCGGCUGAAAGUAUCAUACGAAUAAGGAUCGGCUAACUCCGUGCCAGCAGCCGCGGUAAUACGGAGGAUUCAAGCGUUAUCCGGAUUUAUUGGGUUUAAAGGGUGCGUAGGCGGUUUGAUAAGUUAGAGGUGAAAUGUUAGGGCUUAACCCUGAAACUGCCUCUAAUACUGUUGAGCUAGAGAGUAGUUGCGGUAGGCGGAAUGUAUGGUGUAGCGGUGAAAUGCUUAGAGAUCAUACAGAACACCGAUUGCGAAGGCAGCUUACCAAACUAUAUCUGACGUUGAGGCACGAAAGCGUGGGGAGCAAACAGGAUUAGAUACCCUGGUAGUCCACGCAGUAAACGAUGAUAACUCGCUGUCGGCGAUACACGGUCGGUGGCUAAGCGAAAGCGAUAAGUUAUCCACCUGGGGAGUACGUUCGCAAGAAUGAAACUCAAAGGAAUUGACGGGGGCCCGCACAAGCGGAGGAACAUGUG